ensembl:snRNA U6 U6 spliceosomal RNA
GUGCUCCGGCAGCACAUAUACUAAAAUUGGAACGAUACAGAGUAGAUUAACAUGGCCCCUGUGCAAGGAUGACACCCAAAUUUAUGAAGCAUUCCAUAUUUAA